GAUGAACGCUGGCGGCGUGCCUAAUACAUGCAAGUCGAACGCACAGCGAAAGGUGCUUGCACCUUUCAAGUGAGUGGCGAACGGGUGAGUAACACGUGGACAACCUGCCUCAAGGCUGGGGAUAACAUUUGGAAACAGAUGCUAAUACCGAAUAAAACUUAGUGUCGCAUGACACAAAGUUAAAAGGCGCUUUGGCGUCACCUAGAGAUGGAUCCGCGGUGCAUUAGUUAGUUGGUGGGGUAAAGGCCUACCAAGACAAUGAUGCAUAGCCGAGUUGAGAGACUGAUCGGCCACAUUGGGACUGAGACACGGCCCAAACUCCUACGGGAGGCAGCAGUAGGGAAUCUUCGGCAAUGGACGAAAGUCUGACCGAGCAACGCCGCGUGAGUGAAGAAGGUUUUCGGAUCGUAAAACUCUGUUGGUAGAGAAGAACGUUGGUGAGAGUGGAAAGCUCAUCAAGUGACGGUAACUACCCAGAAAGGGACGGCUAACUACGUGCCAGCAGCCGCGGUAAUACGUAGGUCCCGAGCGUUGUCCGGAUUUAUUGGGCGUAAAGCGAGCGCAGGUGGUUUAUUAAGUCUGGUGUAAAAGGCAGUGGCUCAACCAUUGUAUGCAUUGGAAACUGGUAGACUUGAGUGCAGGAGAGGAGAGUGGAAUUC
rnacentral:rRNA from 1 species